GACGAACGCUGGCGGCGUGCCUAAUACAUGCAAGUAGAACGCACAGUUUAUACCGUAGCUUGCUACACCAUAGACUGUGAGUUGCGAACGGGUGAGUAACGCGUAGGUAACCUGCCUGGUAGCGGGGGAUAACUAUUGGAAACGAUAGCUAAUACCGCAUAAUAUUAAUUAUUGCAUGAUAGUUAAUUGAAAGGUGCAAUUGCACCACUACCAGAUGGACCUGCGUUGUAUUAGCUAGUAGGUGAGGUAACGGCUCACCUAGGCGACGAUACAUAGCCGACCUGAGAGGGUGAUCGGCCACACUGGGACUGAGACACGGCCCAGACUCCUACGGGAGGCAGCAGUAGGGAAUCUUCGGCAAUGGACGAAAGUCUGACCGAGCAACGCCGCGUGAGUGAAGAAGGUUUUCGGAUCGUAAAGCUCUGUUGUAAGAGAAGAACGGGUGUGAGAGUGGAAAGUUCACACUGUGACGGUAUCUUACCAGAAAGGGACGGCUAACUACGUG
rnacentral:rRNA from 1 species